UACGUAGGGUGCGAGCGUUAAUCGGAAUUACUGGGCGUAAAGCGUGCGCAGGCGGUUUUGUAAGCCAGAUGUGAAAUCCCCGGGCUUAACCUGGGAAUGGCAUUUGGGACUGCAAGGCUUGAGUGCGGCAGAGGAGACUGGAAUUCCUGGUGUAGCAGUGAAAUGCGUAGAUAUCAGGAGGAACACCGAUGGCGAAGGCAGGUCUCUGGGUCAAAACUGACGCUCAUGCACGAAAGCGUGGGGAGCAAACAGG
rnacentral:rRNA from 1 species